CUGUUACAUGAAUGUUGAAUCAGUAAGAGAAAUUAUCUGAAGUGGAUUUGAAGACUCUUCCUUUGAUUCUAGUGAAGAGAUCCUUUAAGACCCUGAGAAAACAUGUGGCAAUUCUCUGUGAAUUUGGAAAGGAAGCAUUCACCUAUGAAAGAAAAUGCUUCCAUCAGGUACUUCAAGGUUGAAGAGGCAGAGGACGAGUUAUCCACAAGGAAUUUGGAAGAGAAGCUUGUUUCAAAGUUGGAUGAGCCAUGAGAACAACUACCAAAUAAAUCAUUGUGUGGAAAAGAAUUGAUUUGGGAAUCAAUUGUCUGGGAAAGAAAAUCACAAAGAAGUGAUUGUGAAGACAUUCAUUUGUUCUUCAGAUAUGUAACUGUUUAAUCUGAAGUAAACUUUGGGAUGGAAAACUAUUAGGAACGUUUCUUGCUUAAUUUUGCCAUUGUACGCUCUGAUAUUGAUUGUUCAGGAUUAUUGAGCACACAUGCUGUA